rnacentral:rRNA from 1 species
GUGAACGCUGGCGGCGUGCUUAACACAUGCAAGUCGAACGAUGAAGUCCCUCGGGAUGGAUUAGUGGCGCACGGGUGAGUAAUAUAUAGUUAAUGUGCCUCGAAGACUGGGAUAGCCACUGGAAACGGUGAUUAAUACUAGAUACACCUCUUUAGCUCAAGCUAGAGAGGGAAACGUUUUUUCGCUUCGAGAUCAGACUAUAUCCUAUCAGUUAGUUGGUGAGGUAAUGGCCUACCAAGGCGACGAUGGUUAGCUGGUCUGAGAGGAUGAUCAGCCACACUGGAACUGAGAUACGGUCCAGACUCCUACGGGAGGCAGCAGUGAGGAAUAUUGCACAAUGGGGGGAACCCUGAUGCAGCAACGCCGCGUGGAGGAUGACGCAUUUCGGUGUGUAAACUCCUUUUAUAUGUCAAGAAAAUGACGGUAGCAUAUGAAUAAGCACCGGCUAACUCCGU